CUCUAACCCACUCAGAGAAAAUCUACCAUUUUCUAAUGUAUAUAUUCUGAGAUCUGAUUUUCUCAGCAUGCAAAGAAUACAUUGUAUAAGCAAGAUGUCUGCUAUGACUCCAAAUUUCACAACUAGACGACUGACAUCUCUGCUUGAGGGCUUCUCUUCGUCCGAUCAACUAAAAUGUCGUAAUCCUGUACAAUAGACUGCGCACAAAGCUUCCCAGACAAAACAGCCCCCUCCAUCGAAGCCAAGUACUUCUGCUUCGUAUAAUCGCCAGCCAGAUAGAACCCUUCAAUUGGCGAUCUUUGCAGAGGCCGGCACGGUUCACAGUCGGGCACAGUUUUGUAAACAGAUCUUGGAGUUUUGACAACAUGAUACUUGAGAAUUUUCGCUUUACUCUGAUCUGCGGCUAUUUCAUCUGGGAACAGCUUAGCCAGUUCUGUCAUUGUAGCAUCGAUGAUCUCAUCAUCACUACGUGAGAUCCAUUCCUCUGCCGGUGCGAAUACCAACUCAAGCAUAGAACGAUAAGGAUCGUAAUAUUCCUUGCAAGUUACAGACAUAUCUGCAUAAACACUCAAAAGAGGACUCCUGCUGAAAAGAAGAUGAUCAUAGGUGUUCUUCAGUUUCCUGUCAAACCAUAUAUGAACAUUGAUUACA
rnacentral:misc_RNA from 1 species